rnacentral:rRNA from 1 species
UACGUAGGGUGCGAGCGUUGUCCGGAAUUAUUGGGCGUAAAGAGCUCGUAGGCGGUCUGUCGCGUCGGUCGUGAAAACCUGCAGCUCAACUGUGGGCGUGCGGGCGAUACGGGCAGACUGGAGUACUGCAGGGGAGACUGGAAUUCCUGGUGUAGCGGUGGAAUGCGCAGAUAUCAGGAGGAACACCGGUGGCGAAGGCGGGUCUCUGGGCAGUAACUGACGCUGAGGAGCGAAAGCGUGGGGAGCGAACAGG